AUUGAACGCUGGCGGCAGGCCUAACACAUGCAAGUCGAGCGGAGCGGCGGACGGGGGAGUAAUGCCUAGGAAUCUGCCUGGUAGCGGGGGAUAACGUCCGGAAACGGGCGCUAAUACCUCCUACUAGCAGAUGAGCCUAGGUCGGAUUAGCUAGUUGGUGGGGUAAAGGACUACCAAGGCGACGAUCCAUAACUGGUCUGAGAGGAUGAUCAGUCACACUGGAACUGAGACACGGUCCAGACUCCUACGGGAGGCAGCAGUGGGGAAUAUUGGACAAUGGGCGAAAGCCUGAUGCAGCCAUGCCGCGUGUGUGAAGAAGGUCUUCGGGUUGUAAAGCACUUUCAGUUGGGAGGCGUUACCAACAGAAUAAGCACCGGCUAACGCCGUGCCAGCAGCCGCGGUAAUAC
rnacentral:rRNA from 1 species